GACGAACGCUGGCGGCGUGCCUAAUACAUGCAAGUAGGACGCACAGUUUAUACCGUAGCUUGCUACACCAUAGACUGUGAGUUGCGAACGGGUGAGUAACGCGUAGGUAACCUGCCUGGUAGCGGGGGAUAACUAUUGGAAACGAUAGCUAAUACCGCAUAAUAUUAAUUAUUGCAUGAUAAUUAAUUGAAAGGUGCAAUUGCACCACUACCAGAUGGACCUGCGUUGUAUUAGCUAGUAGGUGAGGUAACGGCUCACCUAGGCGACGAUACAUAGCCGACCUGAGAGGGUGAUCGGCCACACUGGGACUGAGGCACGGCCCAGACUCCUACGGGAGGCAGCAGUAGGGAAUCUUCGGCAAUGGACGAAAGUCUGACCGAGCAACGCCGCGUGAGUGAAGAAGGUUUUCGGAUCGUAAAGCUCUGUUGUAAGAGAAGAACGGGUGUGAGAGUGGAAAGUUCACACUGUGACGGUAUCUUACCAGAAAGGGACGGCUAACUACGUG
rnacentral:rRNA from 1 species